UACGUAGGGCGCAAGCGUUUAUCCGGAAUUAUUGGGCGUAAAGAGCUCGUAGGCGGUUUGUCGCGUCUGCCGUGAAAGUCCGGGGCUCAACUCCGGAUCUGCGGUGGGUACGGGCAGACUAGAGUGAUGUAGGGGAGACUGGAAUUCCUGGUGUAGCGGUGAAAUGCGCAGAUAUCAGGAGGAACACCGGUGCGAAGGCGGGUCUCUGGGCCGAUACUGACGCUGAGGAGCGAAAGCGUGGGGAGCGAACAGG
rnacentral:rRNA from 1 species